UACUAGCCCCGAUAGAAGCGGCAUCCUUUGAGGCGCCGUGAGGCGGCGGAGCUUCGCGGAGCCGUCCGAGCGGCGCAUUAAAGAUAUAGCGGAUAGCGGGAAUUGCU
rnacentral:sRNA from 1 species